UAGAUGAACAUAGAAUAGAGGAGACUAGAGUAGAGCAGAAUAGAAUAAAAUAGAAUAGAUGAACAGACAAUAGAGGAGACGAGAGUAGAGCAGAAUAGAAGCACAGAGCGCCUGACAGAAGAAUCCUCAUGUUUCUUCUUCCUCUUCCUCCCUCAGGUACGACAUCUGCACGUACAAGAACAAACCCUGUGGGACUCUAGGCUUGGCGUCAGUAGCUGGGAUGUGUGAGCCGGAGAGGAGUUGCAGCAUCAAUGAAGACAUCGGCCUGGGUUCUGCUUUCACCAUCGCUCACGAGAUUGGCCACAAUUUCGGGAUGAACCAUGAUGGAAUAGGAAACUCAUGUGGGACUAAAGGCCACGAGGCCGCCAAGCUGAUGGCGGCCCACAUCACAGCUAACACCAACCCCUUUUCCUGGUCGGCCUGCAGU